GGUUCCAUGGUUUAAUGGUUAGCACUCUGGACUCUGAAUCCAGCGAUCCGAGUUCAAAUCUCAGUGGGACCU
rnacentral:tRNA from 1 species